CCUACGGGUGGCAGCAGUGAGGAAUAUUGGUCAAUGGACGAGAGUCUGAACCAGCCAAGUAGCGUGAAGGAUGACUGCCCUAUGGGUUGUAAACUUCUUUUAUAUGGGAAUAAAACGUUCCACGUGUGGGAUUUUGUAUGUACCAUAUGAAUAAGGAUCGGCUAACUCCGGGCCAGCAGCCGCGGUAAUACGGAGGAUCCGAGCGUUAUCCGGAUUUAUUGGGUUUAAAGGGAGCGUAGGUGGAUUGUUAAGUCAGUUGUGAAAGUUUGCGGCUCAACCGUAAAAUUGCAGUGGAAACUGGCAGUCUUGAGUACAGUAGAGGUGGGCGGAAUUCGUGGUGUAGCGGUGAAAUGCUUAGAUAUCACGAAGAACUCCGAUUGCGAAGGCAGUUCACUGGACUGCAACUGACACUGAGGCUCGAAAGUGUGGGUAUCAAACAGGAUUAGAUACCCGAGUAGUC
rnacentral:rRNA from 1 species